UGAUUUCAGUGAGAAUUGUGGGUUUUUCCUUCUUUAACUGAGGGGUACCAACAAUUUUGUCCACGUGUGUAUUCUCAUGUUUCAGGUGGUUCACAGAGUCUGUGGGGCAUUUGAAAGAUUUAGGGAGGGCCUGAAGACCCUUGGUGUUCUAGAUGCAAUGAGGAUUCAGCCAGACAGUUUCAGACCUUUAAUGUGUCAUGAACCAUCUCCACUCACUGCUGACGCAAUGGAUCAGCUUUUCCACAUCCGCCUGUCUGCUGUGGGAAGCAACAAGAGAAUGGCAGAGGAACGUAUUGUGGCAUUUUGGAGGGAUUACCUGCAGGAUGUAGAAGAGCAAGUGGGUCCCUCAGCACUAGGUAAAAUCCUAGCUUUUGCGACGGGUGCAAGUGUCAUCCCUCCAGUUGGAUUCUCCCCACUGCCAUCAGUUGAUUUCCUGCAUGAUCAGUCCAUCAGCCCUGGACGCUAUUUGCCUAUGGCACACACCUGCAUUAACUGCCUUAAAGCUGCUGUCCGGAGUUUGAAUCGCAGCGUCUCCCAAAACACUGGUGGUCCCACCCUCUGAUUUCGCCCCUUUAUUUGUGCACGCGCGCAGUACAUGAGAGAAGUGCCCGGAGUGCAGCAGCAUUUUGCCUGUUUUGCUGUUUUCCCCUCUUCUACAUUUAGUACAUUUAGUAAAUAAUAAAGGAAUUACGUUAGAAUGCUGUAUUGAGUCUAACUUGUCCUAAUACCAAAAUAACAUGAAUCUGCUAGGACGAACGAGUAAAGUUUCAAUAUGUGAUUACACUCGUGUAUCCCUCUCGAUGACGUUGUUUAUCAAACUUAGUGCAUUUACGCGUGUAUAUGUGUUACAUUGUUUAUUUAUUUCUAUCUAGAGUUCAGAAUUGCAUGACUCCUCUGACGAAGAGUAUGUCCCAGACGCCCCAACAUCUUCCUCCAGAGGUCGGGCAUCUAAACGAAGCCGUCAGGCGGGCUAUGGAGGCCGUGGUCGGGGAGCGACGCGAGCACCCCGAGCCAAAAAACGUCCUGCAGUCUCUUGGCCUGACAAGCCGUGGGAUUGGUAACUUUUCUGGAAGUUGCUGAUCCCUGAUGCUCUCUCCUCCACAAGCAAAACAAAUGUGUGCGCGGUUGCGUAGUGCGUAGCUCGCCCACCUCUGCAUGGGCUUGCUUGCUGUGUGCGUAACCGUUGAUUGACAGCAUGACAAAGCUGAAGCUCGAACUUGAUUGGUCGGCAGCAACCGGCGCUUUUUGGAAUAACAUGGGGGUCUAUGAGAGGAAGGCGGAGCUCAGGAAUAAAUUUUCAUAUCGCGUCAUACUAACAUUAUAUUAUAGUAUCGAACUAGACUAACACAUUUAAGCUUUGUUAAAAAAUGAUACAUAAAUUGAAAACAAACGGAAACUCCGGACAGCAGCUUUAAGUUGCCACUAUUGGAAACAUACGAGGAUUUCAGGGAGAGUAUGGACUUUGCAUUGAGUAACACACAGGGUUUUGGUAGAGAAUAACUUUUGAAGAUUGUGUGUUCCUACCACAAUGCAGUGCUCAGGAUGUUUCAGUUAGAAUGUAUGAACAUAUGAACUGCUGUUUUGGUUUUCUUUCCCCUCUUUGAUUAGGUGUUUGCAGAGGAAAAACAGUUUUGGGGGAAAAAUAUUGUUAAGGAUGUGAUCUUUUACAGGGAUUAGCUGAAAUUUGUUUUUAAAUUUUUGUACCUUUUUUCUGUCACUCAUUUUUGAUCAACAGUGUUGAUUAUAUAUCAGAUUUGUGGUUGUGAGGCAAACUGUUUUGUUCUGGCAUUUCACAUUAAAGCACUGUAUAAAUGCAGCCAUUAACUAUUUGUUACAAAACAACCCAUGGAGUUUAAGCUGUUAGGCAGCUUUUCUACUGUUCACUAAGAAAAUUCACCAGGCCUAAAAAUAAUUGUAUGCCAUGGUUUCCAUCACCAUUCAGUGGGUCUAUGGCUUCGUUAACUCUGUUCAUGACAGUUUCAUUUACAAUAAAGUCAUUAACAGGAACAACUACAUUGUUUUCAGUGUCUAACUGUAGAAGGGUGUCUUCACUGAUUUCCAAGGUAUCAUUUCCAGCAAAACUGUCCUGCAUUGCACUAGCACCGGCACUGUUAAGAACCCCUCUCUGCCACAGCUGAAGAGGUGUUGGUCCUCCCUGUGUGGAUAAUCCAUGAUUGUUCCACUGACUUCUGAAUUCUGCAGCUGCCCUCUGAACUCUUGGCAAGUAGAUAUAGUGUAGACAAAACAUAUGGAGUUCAUCUGUAGAAUCCAGUA